rnacentral:lncRNA from 1 species
UUCUCAUCAUUUCCUAUACAAGCUACUGAGCUAUGGCACGACUGGAGUCAUCCCUUGCUAAAUAUUCAUCUCAAGGAGUCUUCAAAUCACUCUUAGGUUUAUAUUUAUUUUUUAGUAUUUGUUUAAGAAUGUAUCUUAUGAGAAUCAUGUUUAUAGCUUGUACUCAGCUUAGCAUGAGCUAAACCUUUUGUAUGUUGAGC